rnacentral:tmRNA from 1 species
CCCAUUGAUAAGGCGCACAGCCUGCCCUAUAUCUAACUUGUCCUUCGGGACUAUGGACAUAAACGCGCUUGUAAUAAUCGGAUCGGACCCGGGGGCGGUACCCGGCGACUCCACCAAACAUCCUUCAUUUGGGGAUCAUGGGGUCGAAAUAGGAUCGACGAACGCCUAAAGAAGUUAGCUUUGUUUCGGCUGGGUGCCACCGUAUCGGCCCAAACUGUACAAUUGCAAAUGACAAUCGUGCUCCAAUGGCGAUGGCUGCGUAAGCAGUUUCAGCUAUUGAAACUUAACUCCUUGGGUUUAGCGACCUAAGGCGGGGCCUGUCGGAGCCUGGCAACAGAAUCCGACACC